UCAACUCUCUCACUCAGAUAUGCAGCCCAUCUCAUUCCCCUCCCUCUCGACUCCCUCUAACCCUAGAAAUAUUGGUGGCGUAGUGGUGGUGGCAGCGAUGACAUAGUGGUGGCGCCAUUCUACAAGCGACGUUUAGAGCCGAAGAGGUGAACCGCGUCUCUCUGAAAACCCUUGUUAGCGUACUUUGUAAUCGAAGCUUCUUCAAUGGCGAAUAACAAUUUACCUCAAAGAAUUAUCAAAGUAAGUCACUCGAUCUUCCUCUUCUCCUAUUUCUCAAUCCCUUCCCCAAUUCAUUUUGAUUUAAUUUCUUCGUCCUUGUUUAGAAUUUUUCUGUUUGAAUAAUUUAUUUUUGGUCGAUUCAUGUCUGCUUUGAAGUUUUCAGAAAGACUGGACUACAUUUCUUGAGAAUCAGGUGCUUUCUCCUGCGAUGUAUAAGCAUAUUUUCCUUGGACAACCUUUCCACCUUAGCUUUUUGAAAGAGUAAUAUUGGAGUUAUUUGUGGAUCGUGACACAUUUCUUCUUGUGGUAAAUUAUUGUAUUGGCUUCUUGUUGGAUGGUUUUGUAUACUUGUCUACUCAACCUUGCCAUUGCUUUCCUUUUGUUAAAUAAUAAGGUUAGUGUGAUUACAUUGCUUAUGCCCAUUUUAGUUUACCUCAUAUUUUGUGAUGGAUCUUCCUUUUAAUUGCUUUCCAUUUGACUUGUAAACUACUCCCAAUGUCCAUGGGUUCUACUCUUUUUGGACAGUUCUCUAAUGUACUUAUACUUAUUUAAAAAAAUAAAUUAAUGCGACCUUAUACUUCAACUGAUUUUAGUUAUGAAUUAUUGUUUGUACAUUUGGUGAUUUGUACACCUUAAUGAUUAGAUAAGUAUGUGCAAUAUAUGUAAGAUUGCUUCAUCAUAUCAGUCUCGUAUGUAUCCUCUUGCCGUGCUCUCAUAUGUAUCACCACAUUUGCAUUGCCCAGUUGUUGACUAAGAGUAACUCAUGCCCCUUGUGCCGAUGACGUUUCACAACACUGACUGAUUCGGCAUUGCACAUCUUAGAGCUGCGGACCUUUCAUGAGUACUGAUUCUGCAUUGCACGCCUUAGGUAACAUGUUUAAUUAUUAGGGUUAAUAUGCGUCGUCCUUCUUAAUUAUAUUUUUUAUGUGCCUUCGCCUUUGGAGUACUGAUUGGAACUUCUGGUAUUUGCUACAAAUUACCUAUAGCUAAUGCAUUAAUUGGUCGUAUCUUCUCACUGCAAAUUUCAUAAUGCAAAUUUCAUAAUGCUAUUUUGACUAUUACACUCACCUAAAAUAUAUAUUCCCCACUCUUAUAGUCACGGUUUUUCCUACAAUGUGCCAUGCUCAGUCUAUUUUCCCACUAAAGCUCUAACUGGAAAUCCAGGGGGAGUCUGAAUUUGGUGUAGAACCAUUCUUUAGUAAUGGUGUUCCAGAAUAAGACAUGAUUAAAACCUCACAUAGAUUAAGCUGAAUAAUAAAUUUGAUGGUUGGCCCAUGCUCGAUAUAUUUUGCUUAUAAAGCUCUAACUGAAAGUCUAGGGGAAUCUGAAUUUGGUGUAGAACCAGUAUUUUAUGAUGGUAUACCAAAAAAAAACAUGAUUAAAACCUCACAAGAUUAAGCUGAAUAGUUUGGUGCAUGGUCAGAGCGUAGGUGAUGAAUUUGCAGAUAAUAAAGAUCAAAAUUCUGCAAAAGAUGCGGUUCUAAAUAAUAUGAACCAAGAUACUAGUCAGAAUCUUACCAACUCUGCUAAUAUAUCUAUGGAUACAUCACAAGUUACUGCAUAUGUUCAUGAAUCCAUUUCUGAGCAUCAGCUGGUUGAUGUUUCUGGUAAGCCAUAUUAUAUCUACUGAAUAUCUUUAUUUUAGAAUGUUACUAUCUGACCUAUACUCUUUCCAUUCCACGAGCGGCGCUUUUAAACAGUACUAUAUCAAUUAUAACUGCACAUGUUUCUAUUAGGCAUUAUAUGCUUCUAUUUUAGAGUUUGUGAAGUGAAUGUUGUAAUCAGGUAGGCAUAAGAUUUUACACAAAAGGGUAAGUCGAUUAGGCCAUUGUAUUUGCUGUGGGAAAUGGACUCGAUGUAGAGUUACCAUUCCAUCAUUACUGCACGAUAUGGCUGCUCUACACUUGAGCCCGAUCUUUCAUGAGUGCACUAAACUAUGAUGCCAGCGCCUAUUUUUUGGGCCGGCAUACCAUGUUAACCUAUGUUUUGUUUUUAUUCAGAAACAAUAUUUUGUUGUGUAGUUCAUUUUAGUUUUAUAUGCUACUGUUCCAAGUUUGACCAUCCCUUACCUUUGACUACCCUUGGUACGGAAAGAAAAGGAAAAUGAUGAAUCAACUAUAUCAUCAAAAUAAUUCAGUAGUAAUUGUUUCACCAUUUUAGAUUUAUAACUCCUUUAAAUAAAUCUAGUUGGUGACAUGGAUCCCAUCUCAUGGUUGAACCCACUGUCCUAUUGUUUCUUGUCUUUCUUGUUUUAAUAUUUUCUUGUAAAUGAAAUGCUACAACGUGCUACAUCGUGAGAGCCAACUGUUAUACACUGUGGAUGUUUAUGAAUAUGUUCACUAUGUGAAGUUCCUUAUGAAAAAAACAUUUAAACCUGGCAACUCUUGAGUGCAAAGUCCAGCAAUGGAUAUCAUUUGAAGGAGUUGUGUUUCAGGUGUAAAUGUGUACCUGAGGUCCUGAACUCUAACCUGCCAUUUCCCACAAAGUUGGUUGGGACUUGGGACUAAACUUGUGCAUAAAUUUGAUCACUAUUGUGACCUGGUUAGGACUCAGUAAUCAGUAGUUUGUAUAUGGGUCUGGAUCCAGUGGUGGUCAGUAAAUUAAUUAUAAUAUUAAUGUUUCUAUCCUCUGGACUACUGUAUCUACAUGAAUGGGCUCUCCUCAUCUUCACUUAGUAAAGCCUAAUCCCAACUAUUUGACGCUGGUUAAAUGAAUUUUGUUUUAACCCUCCAUAUGAGUUUGUUUUGUAUAUAUAUAGAUGGGUGAUAGAUAAUCAGAUUGAUAAUAUGGUUUAAACCCAGGAUACUAAUAUAGGUGUAUUUCAUAUUGAUAUAAAAUUUUAAUCAAAGAAGUCUGGUGUUUCUAGGUGUUGUACAUCACAUAUUUCACUAACGUGUUGCUUCAUUUUCUUUCUUGUAGCUUCUUGGGAGGAGCAGUGGAUUUCAUGUGGCAUCAACUUAUCGGCUGUGUACGAAAUGUCUUUGGCAUCAACUCAUUGAUUCAUUUGUUGUUUCUACAGUGCUAUGUAACAUGUUCAUAUAUAUUUAUAUUGAAAAGUGAUUUUGAGAUGCAUAUAUGGAUAGUUUGAUAUAUAUUUUGUAGAUGUAGUAAUUUGAAACUGUAAACGAAUGGUAUUAUUGGAAUAUAUUUUGAAUGGUUGAUACAUUUUGGCUUUAAAUUUAAAUGAGAAUUUAGACUUUUUAGCUAUAUAUCACGGCAUUAGCAUAUUGCAGGUGCAUUGGUAAUAUAGGUGAACAACAACAUUUUUUUCCUUUUUUUUUCUUUAUCUACAACAUUUUAAAAUUGUUGUAUAUUUGUAUAAAUAAA
rnacentral:lncRNA from 1 species